rnacentral:rRNA from 1 species
UACGAAGGGGACUAGCGUUGUUCGGAAUUACUGGGCGUAAAGCGCACGUAGGCGGAUUUGUUAGUCAGGGGUGAAAUCCCGGGGCUCAACCUCGGAACUGCCUUUGAUACUGCAAGUCUCGAGUCCGAUAGAGGUGGGUGGAAUUCCUAGUGUAGAGGUGAAAUUCGUAGAUAUCUUGAGGAACACCGGUGGCGAAGGCGGCUCACUGGCUCGAUACUGACGCUGAGGUGCGAAAGCGUGGGGAGCAAACAGG